rnacentral:rRNA from 1 species
AUGAACGGCUUGCGCCGCCUCCUCCCCCGGCUCCUCCGCCGCGAGCCCACGGCGGCCGUCAGCGCAUGGCAGCCUCGGUUGCCGCCCGGGUACCACGGCCACCACUUCACUAGACCUGCCGUCCGUCCACGACACUACUGCACUUCGCCGUCUAGCCCGACCACACAGACCCGCUUGGGCUCCCGUUGGUACCACGAUCCACGGAAGGUCGCCGCGUCGGUGUCUGUCGUCUCUGCCGCCUUAUGCUACCAGUUCCUCGAGGUGAUUCCAUGGACCAACCGCGCGCACUUCAUCUUCCUGUCCCAUCAGUCGGAGCGAGCGCACGGACUCGCCGAGUUCGCCGACUACAAGCAGGAGGUGGUCUCCAAAAUCCUCGGCCCGCGCCACCCUCACAGCGUCCGCGCCCGUCGCAUCGCCGAGAGGAUCAUCCACGCCGGCAUCGACGACGCUGUCAUCCUCCGCGUCGCCAGCAACCGGCACAAGGGGAAGGCAUGGCUACCUCCGCCUCAGACGAGGCAUCUCCAUGGGCUCGACUGGGAGGUGAUCGUGGUGGAUCACAAGGGCAACACCGGCGCCUACUGCACGCGCGGCGGUAAAAUCGUACUGUACACGGGAUUGCUCGACCACUUCAAGACCGAUGGUGAGAUUGCAUUUGCUAUCGCCCAUGAGGUUGCGCACAUCAUCGCAAGGCAUGAAUCUAGAUUUGACAUAGUUCAGUUUCCAUUUUGA